UGAUUACAGGCUUUAAGUGAACAGCUAGGUUGGUGGAGUUUGGGUCAAAAGUUUUCUGAUUUAUAAGCGUUGGCUCAAACUGGCAAGUCCCAACUUACAAAGAAAAAAUUCAGCUUACCAAAUUCGAACGGUUUCAGGUAGCGCGGGUCGGAGAUAUCUACUAUGUUUUUCCUCAUCUUUUUGUUAGAACUUGGCACUGCUUCAACGAAGGAGUGUUCAGAUUUGGGUGUAUCUGAGCUUACUGGCGUACUAGGAACUCGAGAGCUGCUUACUUUCUUUUCUUCACUUGAUUCUAUAGGCAAAAAAAUGAAAAGGUGGUGGUAAAAAUAAAUUAAAAGUGAUAUUCAGGAACAUGAAACAGAUGAAAUGCCAUUAAAAAUGACACUCCCUAGAAAGUAAAAAAUGAAUAGUGUUAUCUUAUCCAUGAGUUGAUCACCAAUAUAUAGACUGAUUACCCUUAGCAAUUCUCAAGUACGAUUAAAAACAUGGGUAAUUUAGCGACAAGAGAAAAAAAACGGCUAAAAGCUCCUCUACAAUUUGUAAAUGCAUAACAUGACUUUAAGGGACUCAUACUACAUUUAGCACCAGGAAUCAGAAGAUCUUCUUUCAAGAUCAUAUCUUUUUGAGAAAGAGGCUUUGAAACACAAAAACCAAUAAUUUCAAGAGAAUAAUCAAAGACUGGAAUGAGCUUUACCAAUUGGAGUUUUGUGGCCAACAACUGCUUAUCUAGAACUCAUAAUUGCGCAGUAAUUCUAAUUUAACUGAUAAUGAAAAUGAAACAAAUAACAAAAUGAAAAGCAAAAACUUCUUCUGGCAUUAGUGUAUCAUUUGAUGAUUAUUUAUUGCUUACACUACCGGCUAAAUUUCCUGAAAUGAAACUCAUUGUUCAUUUUUAUUCAUAUCCCACAGUUCCAUUAUGUCUGCAUCAGUUCCAAAGAGGGGGACUCUCCCGUGGUUGGUAUCUCUCUUUCAAAAAGACCUCAAUCCAUGGGUUAAGACCUUCAUAGAUUCGGAGCAGUUGUGUAAAAUGCGAACGGCAAGUAGCGUAAAUGCUGCGCACACAUACAAGACAACCCCAUUGUACAUAAUUCCAGUUGGACUUUAUUGGGUGGAAUAA
rnacentral:lncRNA from 1 species